GGCUGAGUGUGUAGGGGAGGACGGCAGUGGUGACAGUGGAGGUGGCUGGUGGGAUUUGGGGGUAAUAAGUUACACAACACUAGAUACCUGAUGCAGUGAGAAAAUGGGGGAAUGCAUUGGCAGGUGUGUGCCUUUGCACUCAUCUGCAAAGCUGCAUUUUACCUCAAACCCAGAUCCUGUUUCACAAACAAGUAUUUAAAAAGAAUUGAGGGGUAUGGAUCUUGCAGUGAGGACUACAGACUGCACCCCUAAUAUAGCUCCAUUCGAAGUGGCUGCUCUUCACAUCCACCCCCAGCCCUCCUCUGAGUCCUCCCCUGUGUAUCAGGAGAAGUGGCUCCAUUUUUUUCAAUGACUUCUUUUGUCUAAUGUUAUCAUGCAACUUCCCAAGGUACUGGUGGGCCCCAGCUAUGAGGACUAUACCUACAGGCUCCAGGGACUCAACAGGCAUUUGAGGAAUGAAUGAAUCAAUAAAUAGGGGUAACCAGGGUGCCUGGCCAAGCCCUUCUCUCCAUCCAGCUCUCUCCCCUGUCAGCAGGACCCAGUGCAGGAUGGAGGGAGAAAGAAGAGAUAGAUAGCUUCAUUAUUAUUGCUCAAGCUAAUGAGCUGGGAAGGAGAAGUAAAACGAGAGGACUAUGGAAUGGAGGACCGGACGAGUGAUUCUCCCAAAGUGAUUAUUUAGAAAACGCAGUGGCAAACUGAGAGUGAGCUGGUUUUCAUUGCUGGAUAAUGAGCCCAAUGAUAGAGGAAAGGGCUGGCUGGCUGGAAGUGAGAAGAGGGACUUUUUCUGCUCCCCGUCAGACCAGAGCCAGGGAAUCUGAGGGGACCAGAAGAGAGCCUGGCCAGCUGUGAGGAGCUACACAGAGCCGGGUAGAAAAGGCAACCACUCAAGAUACUGAACCUCAUUGGGCCAGCCUUGGAGAUCUGCAAAGAUGGAAGAUGUGGUGCUAGUUACCAGUGCUGGACAGCAAGCCACCCCAAACUUAGUGACUCAGAUCAGCCAAUUUACUCCCACACUGGGAACUUGGACAGCGUGAAGUCUGUGCUCCUCUCAGUAGGCUGGGGACACUCAGCUGCUGAGGCUGGUCUCACCUAGAGGUGUCUUCCUCACCUGCCUGCUGGGCUGUUUGUUCAUGC
rnacentral:lncRNA from 1 species